rnacentral:rRNA from 1 species
UACGGAGGAUGCGAGCGUUAUCCGGAUUUAUUGGGUUUAAAGGGUGCGUAGGCGGAUUUUUAAGUCAGCGGUAAAAUGUCCGGGCUCAACCCGGGCCGGCCGUUGAAACUGGGGGCCUUGAGUGGGCGAGAAGAAGGCGGAAUGCGUGGUGUAGCGGUGAAAUGCAUAGAUAUCACGCAGAACCCCGAUUGCGAAGGCAGCCUUCCGGCGCCCUACUGACGCUGAGGCACGAAAGUGCGGGGAUCGAACAGG